AUGCUCAAUUAUUCAGAGAAAAUUCUGAAAUCAAUUUCUAGCCGGUGCCUUUGUUGUCGUACGAGAGGCAUUGCCGAUUGUCAUGCAUCAGGUGUUGCAACUGGCAAGAAUGUUCGUUUUAGCACUCCUGUCGCACACAGAAUCCAGGGUCACAGGCUUGAUAUGUCUAAUGGUGAAGCGAUUUCACCGCUUAACCAGGUUGGGUCAUCAAGGAAACGUAACGCAAGCAACGAAGACUCCGCAUCUGCAAGCAAAAAAUCAUUUUCAGAAUCAUCCAUUGUGAUUAACUUCUUCAAAGACACCGUCCGCAAAGUUGCACAAAUGUAUGCUGAUCUCCUAGCGAACACAACCGUUACUGUCUUUGGCCAAACUCAGGGUAAACUACCAAAGAGGAAGUACAUUUUUCAGCAUGGUUUUGCAACCAAUCCAUGGGAGCGCGGAGUUUUACCACUGCCACCACACGCUGGAACCACAGAUAUGAUAGUUGAAUACUUCUCCAACUUACCUGAGAGUGAUCUCCAAAGGCAUUAUGUUAUCCACCACUCCCCCAGGCUUGUCCGCAUUACAGGGCUCUCUUUGUGUCAUCGGCUCAUUGGCAGUCGGAGUCUCGAUCAUGAACUUGUUUCCAUCAUGUGUAGAAGGUACACUCAGUCCGAUAUGGAAGCCAAUAGGGAAUGUCCAUACCUCAACUGGAGGCACAACAUGGAACCAGAGUUUGCGACAAUUGUGUUGUCCGACCAUGACUAUGUAAACAACAUUUCGAUUCAGAAGCAACUAGUCGGCAAGGACAUUCCUUAUGAUAUAACUUCAUCUCAGAUGUUCUUCCUGCCAGUACCCCUCGAAGCUGGUUGGGUUAUUUUGAUGUGGGACAUGAUGUCGAGGAAGACCCAUUUUUGGACCCGAAUAUCAAAGGGAAUGGCCCUGAUGAAUUCACGAAGGAUAAGCAUGAACUUAUUGCAUGGAAGCUUCACCAUGCGCUAUUCCAUUGCCUGA
rnacentral:rRNA from 1 species